rnacentral:rRNA from 1 species
UACGUAGGGAGCAAGCGUUGUCCGGAAUCAUUGGGCGUAAAGGGCGCGUAGGCGGCCCGCUAAGUCGAACGUGAAAUCCCCGAGCUCAACUCGGGAACUGCGUCCGAUACUGGCGGGCUUGAAUCCGGGAGAGGGAUGCGGAAUUCCAGGUGUAGCGGUGAAAUGCGUAGAUAUCUGGAGGAACACCGGUGGCGAAGGCGGCAUCCUGGACCGGCAUUGACGCUGAGGCGCGAAAGCUAGGGGAGCAAACGGG